CUGCUGCCUCCCGUAGGAGUUUGGGCCGUGUCUCAGUCCCAAUGUGGCCGGUCACCCUCUCAGGUCGGCUACUGAUCGUCGGUUUGGUGGGCCGUUACCCCGCCAACUGCCUAAUCAGACGCGGGGCCAUCUCAUACCACCGGAGUUUUUCACACUGUACCAUGCGGCACUGUGCGCUUAUGCGGCAUUAGCAGUCAUUUCUAACUGUUAUUCCCCUGUAUGAGGCAGGUUCCCCACGCGUUACUCACCCGUCCGCCG
rnacentral:rRNA from 1 species